CUUUAUUUAACCAGGUAGGCUAGUUGAGAACACCUUUAUUUAACCAGGUAGGCUAGUUGAGAACACCUUUAUUUAACCAGGUAGGCUAGUUGAGAACACCUUUAUUUAACCAGGUAGGCUAGUUGAGAACACCUUUAUUUAACCAGGUAGGCUAGUUGAGAACAAACGUUCUCAUUUACAACUGCGACCUGGUCAAGAUAAAGCAAAAGCAGUGUGACAAAAACAACGACACAGAGUUACACAUGGAAUAAAACAAACGUACAGUCAAUAACACCAUAGAAAAAUCUACCCUGCAGUACUCUCCCAGUCAGGUUUGUGGUGCUGCCGGGGAGCGUCAUCACACC
ensembl:lncRNA